rnacentral:rRNA from 1 species
GAUGAACGCUGGCGGCGUGCCUAAUACAUGCAAGUCGAGCGAACGGACGAGAAGCUUGCUUUUCUGAUGUUAGCGGCGGACGGGUGAGUAACACGUGGAUAACCUACCUAUAAGACUGGGAUAACUUCGGGAAACCGGAGCUAAUACCGGAUAAUAUUUUGAACCGCAUGGUUCAAAAGUGAAAGACGGUCUUGCUGUCACUUAUAGAUGGAUCCGCGCUGCAUUAGCUAGUUGGUAAGGUAACGGCUUACCAAGGCAACGAUGCAUAGCCGACCUGAGAGGGUGAUCGGCCACACUGGAACUGGGACACGGUCCAGACUCCUACGGGAGGCAGCAGUAGGGAAUCUUCCGCAAUGGGCGAAAGCCUGACGGAGCAACGCCGCGUGAGUGAUGAAGGUCUUCGGAUCGUAAAACUCUGUUAUUAGGGAAGAACAGAUGUGUAAGUAACUGUGCACAUCUUGACGGUACCUAAUCAGAAAGCCACGGCUAACUACGUG